rnacentral:rRNA from 1 species
AUUCCAGCUCCAAUAGCGUAUAUUAAAGUUGUUGCAGUUAAAACGCUCGUAGUCGAAUUUCGGACGCGAAACAAAGGUAGAUCAAAUGAUCUUACUUUUGAUUCAAGUCCUUAUUUCUGGGAGAGCAUGCUCGCAUGUUAAUCCAGGACAUUUACUUUGAGGAAAUUAGAGUGUUCAAAGCAGGCAUUUGCUUGAAUAUGACAGCAUAGAAUAAUAGAAUAGGACUUUGGUUUUAUUUUGUUGGUUUUGGAGACCAAGGUAAUGAUGAAUAGGGGCAGUCGUGGGCAUUAGUAUUUUGAAGUCAGAGGUGAAAUUCUUGGAUUUUCGAAAGACGAACUACUGCGAAAGCAUUUACCAAGGAUGUUUUCAUUG